rnacentral:rRNA from 1 species
AGAGUUUGAUCAUGGCUCAGGAUGAACGCUGGCGGUAUGCCUAACACAUGCAAGUCGUACGAGAGUUUUUAACUCUAGUGGCGGACGGGUGAGUAACACGUAAGAAUUUACCUUCAGGGAGGGGGGAUAACAAUUGGAAACAAAUGCUAAUACCCCAUAUGCUUUCGAGUGAAAUGGAUUUAUAUUUAUCCNCCUAAAGAGAAGCUUGCGUCUGAUUAGCUUGUUGGUAAGGUAAAAGCUUACCAAGGCGACGAUCAGUAUCUGGUUGGAGAGGACGAUCAGACACACUGGAACUNACACACGNUCCAGACUCCUACGGGAGGCAGCAGUGGGGAAUUUUCCGCAANGGGCGAAAGCCUGACGGAGCAAUACCGCGNGAGGGAAGACUGCCUAUGGGUUGUAAACCUCUUUUUUCAGGGAGGGUC